rnacentral:ncRNA from 1 species
AACUUAGAAGUCCUUGAUGUUCUGAGAAUAUUCAGCAAUGUUUGAACACGAUGUUCAAACAAGCCGCCACUGAGCCAUGGAUGGCGAAUUGGCGGCGGUUGCGUACGAUAUCGAUAUUUGUAACAGAACAUCUAGUACUUCUUAGUUU